rnacentral:rRNA from 1 species
UAGGGAAUCUUCCACAAUGGACGAAAGUCUGAUGGAGCAACGCCGCGUGAGUGAAGAAGGUCUUCGGAUUGUAAAGCUCUGUUGUUGGUGGAGAAGGAUAGAGGCAGUAAUUGGUCUUUAUUUGACGGUAAUCAACCAGAAAGUCACGGCUAACUACGUGCCAC